AAGCAGUUUGAAUUGUUUUGCAUAAGAUGUAAGGUUGAUCAUUUCUAUUCCUCUUCUGAUAUACUUGGGGAUAAUUUAGGUAGAAAUCAUAGUUUCAACACUCAGCUCUUUUCAUGAAUACCUAAAAGAGAAGAAGAAGAAGAAAGUACAAUGUUAUCAGUAUUCUGCCUUCCAACUUAUACUACACUGCAAUAUGAGUUCGGUCCCCCGAAUUUUUUUUUUUUAA
rnacentral:misc_RNA from 1 species